ensembl:misc_RNA Y_RNA Y RNA
GGCUGGUCGAAGUGAAGUAGUGUUUACAACUAAUUGACCACAACCAGUAACAAAUUUUUUUGUUCUUUCUGCACUCCCACUGCGUCACUUGACUAGAUAAAA